rnacentral:rRNA from 2 species
GGUUAAGCGACUAAGCGUACACGGUGGAUGCCCUGGCAGUCAGAGGCGAUGAAGGACGUGCUAAUCUGCGAUAAGCGUCGGUAAGGUGAUAUGAACCGUUAUAACCGGCGAUUUCCGAAUGGGGAAACCCAGUGUGUU